GGAGAGGUGGCAGAGUGGUCGAAUGUGCCUGACUCGAAAUCAGGUGUGCCGCAAGGUACCGGGGGUUCGAAUCCCUCCCUCUCCGCCA
rnacentral:tRNA from 3 species